GAGUUUGAUCCUGGCUCAGGACGAACGCUGGCGGCGCGCCUAACACAUGCAAGUCGAACGAGAGAGAGGGAGUUUGCUUCCUCAAUCGAGUGGCGAACGGGUGAGUAACGCGUGAGGAACCUGCCUCAAAGAGGGGGACAACAGUUGGAAACGACUGCUAAUACCGCAUAAGCCCACAGGUCGGCAUCGACCAGGGGGAAAAGGAGCAAUCCGCUUUGAGAUGGCCUCGCGUCCGAUUAGCUAGUUGGUGAGGUAAUGGCCCACCAAGGCGACGAUCGGUAGCCGGACUGAGAGGUUGAACGGCCACAUUGGGACUGAGACACGGCCCAGACUCCUACGGGAGGCAGCAGUGGGGAAUAUUGCACAAUGGGGGAAACCCUGAUGCAGCGACGCCGCGUGGAGGAAGAAGGUCUUCGGAUUGUAAACUCCUGUUGUUGAGGAAGAUAAUGACGGUACUCAACAAGGAAGUGACGGCUAACUACGUGCCAGCCGCCGCGGUAAUAC
rnacentral:rRNA from 1 species